GACAGAGGAUGCAAGCGUUAUCCGGAAUGAUUGGGCGUAAAGCGUCCGCAGGUGGCAAUGUAAGUCUGCUGUUAAAGAGUCUAGCUCAACUAGAUAAAAGCAGUGGAAACUACAUAGCUAGAGUACGUUCGGGGCAGAGGGAAUUCCUGGUGUAGCGGUGAAAUGCGUAGAGAUCAGGAAGAACACCGGUGGCGAAGGCGCUCUGCUAGGCCGUAACUGACACUGAGGGACGAAAGCUAGGGGAGCGAAUGGG
rnacentral:rRNA from 1 species